CCUACGGGAGGCAGCAGUGGGGAAUAUUGGACAAUGGGCGAAAGCCUGAUCCAGCAAUGCCGCGUGAGUGAUGAAGGCCUUAGGGUUGUAAAGCUCUUUUACCAGGGAUGAUAAUGACAGUACCUGGAGAAUAAGCUCCGGCUAACUCCGUGCCAGCAGCCGCGGUAAUACGGAGGGAGCUAGCGUUGUUCGGAAUUACUGGGCGUAAAGCGUACGUAGGCGGUUAUUCAAGUCAGAGGUGAAAGCCUGGAGCUCAACUCCAGAACUGCCUUUGAAACUAGGUAGCUAGAAUCACGGAGAGGUUAGUGGAAUUCCGAGUGUAGAGGUGAAAUUCGUAGAUAUUCGGAAGAACACCAGUGGCGAAGGCGACUAACUGGACGUGUAUUGACGCUGAGGUACGAAAGCGUGGGGAGCAAACAGGAUUAGAUACCCUGGUAGUCCACGCCGUAAACGAUGAUAACUAGCUGUUCGGUCUCUACGAGACUGAGUGGCGCAGCUACGACAUUAAGUUAUCCGUCCGUCGGGAGGUACGGUCGCGAAGAAGUUAAACGUAACGAAAGGUAAAGUUAGUACGGUUCGUUGUAGACGUUGCCGACGGACGACGACGAGGGAGGAGG
rnacentral:rRNA from 1 species